UAUGUCAGUGAUGUGUGUAAGUUUCACGAGGGCAAGGAUUUGUUUGUUUGGUUCACUGAUACGUCUCCAGGGCCUAGAGCAUAAGUGCUCAGUAAAUACUUACUGAUGAGUACUUCAAUGAAUGGCAUAACACACACAGAUUCAGGAAGUCCACAGCUGAGGGUGGGAAGGAGGCUAAUGAACUGUUAAAAUCCCCAGUGACUAAGCAGGUUUGUCAGGAAAAUAGUUCGCAAAGAUGAGACUCUGAAACUGAGUUCUGUAGUGUGAGGAGAACAAAAUAAUUAGUGGUUAUUGAAAAAAUGAAGUUUUUUUAUGUUUGGAUUUUAAAACUACAUACUAAUUUGAUCAGAAGCAAGUUAUGCAUAUGAAACACUUGAAAAAGAUUAAGAUCUUUAUAUAAAAUACUUGCCAAAAAAACUGGCUUGUGUUUGGUGAAGGCCACCUGUUUACUGCUGUAGACAGUCAGGAAGGCAGCCAAAGUGUUCUUACCUCGUGUAGGUAGUGGGUGACUAAGCAGGUGACUAAGGCAGAGAAAGCAGUUGGGGCACAUGAUGAAAUGUGUAAUAAGUGCUGAACUGUGUGGUGCACUUAGUCCUCCAGCAGUGGUUCAGAGAGCGGAGGAGAUGGGAAAUGAGUAGCCCUGACAAUGAAUAGGAUUCCUUGACAAUGAAUAGGAUUUGAGCAAAUGGAGAGAAAGAAGGAAGGAAUUCUCUGUGGGCAAACAGAUCGACAUGUAUAUGCUAGGUUCUAACCACUGUGCUUGAACAGACGGGAUCCAGAACUGAAAGACACAAGGAAAGCGCAAUUCAUUCACAGAGACACACAGGACCCUUCUGCGCUGAGAGGAAGCAGAAUUCUGCCGCAGCCCAGGCCGUUGAGGAGCAAGCCUUUCUCUGCCUUCCUCUUUGUGGUGCCUGCGUUUGCCCUUUGUAACACUCACUGCAACUUGCGGUCCGCUUGCACUGUGACGAAACUGUACAUGUCAUGAUGUCCUGAACCCUGUGUGUCUUUAAGUUUAUUCUCAUAAUUUAGCAUAGUUCAGUGGGAAUAGUUGGUGCUCAGUACAAUUGCAAAGUGAACGAAAUUCCUGCUGUGAACAGUGUCGUCUCCACAUAUCUCUAACCCACACCACUUUCCAGUUGAAAGUGUGCUGUGAUUGAGUAGAUGGCAGUCAGUAUCCAGCAAGUACUGGGCUGUGAUCAAUGAAGUUUAAUGAAGAAAUAAAAAUUGUUCUUGUCAUGCAA